CCUGAAGUUACUAAUCCUUCCA
rnacentral:miRNA from 1 species